rnacentral:rRNA from 1 species
UACGGAGGGUGCAAGCGUUAUCCGGAUUCACUGGGUUUAAAGGGUGUGUAGGCGGGUAAUUAAGUCAGUGGUGAAAUCUCCAGGCUCAACCUGGAAACUGCCAUUGAUACUAUUUAUCUUGAAUCUUGUUGAGGUGGACGGAAUAUGUCAUGUAGCGGUGAAAUGCAUAGAUAUGACAUAGAACACCAAUUGCGAAGGCAGUUCACUAAACAAGUAUUGACGCUGAGGCACGAAAGCGUGGGGAUCAAACAGG